GGGGCGUAGCUCAGUUGGGAGAGCACCUGCCUUGCAAGCAGGGGGUCAAGAGUUCGAAUCUCUCCGUCUCC
rnacentral:tRNA from 4 species